rnacentral:rRNA from 1 species
UACGUAGGGGGCAAGCGUUGUCCGGAAUCAUUGGGCGUAAAGCGCGCGUAGGCGACCCGGUAAGUCCGCUCUGAAAGUCCAGGGCUUAACCCUGGAAAGCGGGUGGAUACUGCCGGGCUUGAAUCCGGAAGAGGCGAGUGGAAUUCCUGGUGUAGCGGUGGAAUGCGCAGAUAUCAGGAGGAACACCAAUAGCGAAGGCAGCUCGCUGGGACGGUAUUGACGCUAAGGCGCGAAAGCGUGGGGAGCAAACAGG